rnacentral:SRP_RNA from 1 species
GCCGGGCGUGGUGGUGCGUGCCUGUGUCCCAGCUACUCGGGAGGCUGAGGUUGGAGGAUUGCUUGAGUUCAGGAGUUUUGGGCUGUAGUGAGCUAUGCUGGUGUCCACACUAAAUUCAGCAUCAAUAUGGUGACCUCCUGGGAGCAGGGACCACUAGGUUGCCAAAGGAGCGGUGAACCGGCCCAGGUCGGAAAUGGAGCAGGUCAAAAACUCCCGUGCUGAUCAGUAGUGGGAUCACGCCUACGAGUAGCCACUGUACUCCAGCCUGGGCAACAUACUGAGACUCCUGUCUCU